rnacentral:rRNA from 1 species
GACGAACGCUGGCGGCGUGCUUAACACAUGCAAGUCGAACGGAAAGGCCCUUUUGGGGGUACUCGAGUGGCGAACGGGUGAGUAACACGUGGGUGAUCUGCCCUGCACUUUGGGAUAAGCCUGGGAAACUGGGUCUAAUACCGGAUAGGACUGCGGCCUGCAUGGGUUGUGGUGGAAAGCUAUUUGCGGUGUGGGAUGGGCCCGCGGCCUAUCAGCUUGUUGGUGGGGUGAUGGCCUACCAAGGCGACGACGGGUAGCCGGCCUGAGAGGGUGUCCGGCCACACUGGGACUGAGAUACGGCCCAGACUCCUACGGGAGGCAGCAGUGGGGAAUAUUGCACAAUGGGCGCAAGCCUGAUGCAGCGACGCCGCGUGGGGGAUGACGGCCUUCGGGUUGU